GAUGAACGCUGGCGGCGUGCCUAAUACAUGCAAGUCGAGCGAACGGACGAGAAGCUUGCUUCUCUGAUGUUAGCGGCGGACGGGUGAGUAACACGUGGAUAACCUACCUAUAAGACUGGGAUAACUUCGGGAAACCGUAGCUAAUACCGGAUAAUAUUUUGAACCGCAUGGUUCAAAAGUGAAAGACGGUCUUGCUGUCACUUAUAGAUGGAUCCGCGCUGCAUUAGCUAGUUGGUAAGGUAACGGCUUACCAAGGCAACGAUGCAUAGCCGACCUGAGAGGGUGAUCGGCCACACUGGAACUGAGACACGGUCCAGACUCCUACGGGAGGCAGCAGUAGGGAAUCUUCCGCAAUGGGCGAAAGCCUGACGGAGCAACGCCGCGUGAGUGAUGAAGGUCUUCGGACCGUAAAACUCUGUUAUUAGGGAAGAACAUAUGUGUAAGUAACUGUGCACAUCUUGACGGUACCUAAUCAGAAAGCCACGGCUAACUACGU
rnacentral:rRNA from 1 species